UGAUUUUGCCCUUUUGCUGUAUUGGUGUUUUCCCCAAUAUAUGCAGUUUUCCCCGGCAGGGAGAUUCUGUGUGAAUCUUUUUCCCAAUCCGAGUCCGGAUUUUCAUCCGAAGUAUCCUUCGUGGAUAGUUUGAGUCAGCUUGAGUCUUUCCAAUGGAUGUGUCUUCCUUUGGAAUUUUCUUUUUCCCCAAUUCGAGUCCUUUACUCACCAGUGAGGUCUCUAGUCCAGUCAUGUCUUGUUCACGCCGUGUC
rnacentral:lncRNA from 1 species